GUAAUAAUAAAAAUGUUUUAUUGUUUGUAUAGGGUAUGUGCACAUGAAUGUAGGUGCCCUAGGAGACCAAGUAUGUCAGAUCCCUUGGAGCUGGAGUUACAGGCCGUUGCUAGCCACCUGAUGUGUAUGCUGGGAAUCUAGCUCAGGUCCCCUGCAGAAGCAGUCUUCCCUCUGAACCACUGAGCCAUCCCUCCGGCCCUAGGAUGAAGUAUCUCUAUGUGGACUCGGGAUUAAGAGGUAGACAGAUCUCUAUGAGUUCAAGGCCACCUACCUGCCACAUUGAAGAUAGAAGGAUUCAUUCUCCAGCCCCCCUGUGGAGAGGCAGCAGUCUGAGGCUUGGUGAGAGCUGGGGGAGACAGAAUCAGCCCUUUCAGCUUGAGGCAGAGGUAAGAAGGUAGUAGCCUGCUGCUUUGCUUUUCUGAUAUUCAUCUUGAAGUUUGAACCCCAAUAUCUGUCUCUGGUCAUUUAUUAUUUGUGUUACAUGUUUCAAUAAUAUGAAUAUUUACACUAUUUUAGAAAUUACUAAAACAGUCUUUAAAACAGCUUAGCUAAUUAUAUUGUGUGAAAAUAUCUUUUCAAUA
rnacentral:lncRNA from 1 species